AUGGACGGAAGAGAGCGUCCUUCAGUCCACUCACAGGCGGUGCUAGGAUCGAAUUAGCUGCCGACUCAUUCAUCCACUUGCCGAGCAAAGUUAUUUGCCGAGGAGCUUAGCAGGUGAGUGAAUGAAGCGGGAGGUAAAGUCUUUGAUCUCGCACCGUCGUUGCUUGGACUGAAGGGUGCUCCCUCCUCCUCUCUA
rfam:Triticum urartu cultivar G1812 contig1151429, whole genome shotgun sequence.